GUCUUUUAGAUUAUAAUUGAAGGUUUAAUCUGCUCAAUGAGAAUUAAAUAGCUGCAGUAAUUUGACUGUACUAAGGUAGCAUAAUAAAUAGUUUUUUAAUUGAAAGCUGGAAUGAAUGAUUGGAUAAGAUAUAAACUGUCUAAAUUUUAAGAAUAGAAUUUAAUUUGUGAGUUAAAAAUCUUACAUUUUGUAAUAAGACGAGAAGACCCUAUAGAUUUUUAUAUUUUUAAGUAAAAGUAUAGUUAAGUUAAUAAGUAAUUUUUAUUUAAAAUUAUUAAAUUGGGGUGAUUAUUAAAUUUAUUAAACUUUAAUAUUAUUAUACAGUAAUUAUUGAAUUAUUGAUCUUAAAUUUUAAAUUAAUAGAAUAAAAUACCUUAGGGAUAACAGCGUAAUUUUUUUGGAGAGAUCAUAUUGAUAAAAAAGAUUGC
rnacentral:rRNA from 1 species